rnacentral:tRNA from 1 species
GGAGAGGUGCCGGAGUGGUUUAACGGGGCGGCCUCGAAAGUCGUUGAUCCCUUAUGGGAUCCGGGGGUUCGAAUCCCUCCCUCUCCG